AUUGAACGCUGGCGGCAGGCCUAACACAUGCAAGUCGAGCGGAUGAAGGGAGCUUGCUCCUGGAUUCAGCGGCGGACGGGUGAGCAAUGCCUAGGAAUCUGCCUGGUAGUGGGGGAUAACGUCCGGAAACGGGCGCUAAUACCGCAUACGUCCUGAGGGAGAAAGUGGGGGAUCUUCGGACCUCACGCUAUCAGAUGAGCAUAGGUCGGAUUAGCUAGUUGGUGGGGUAAAGGCCUACCAAGGCGACGAUCCGUAACUGGUCUGAGAGGAUGAUCAGUCACACUGGAACUGAGACACGGCCCAGACUCCUACGGGAGGCAGCAGUGGGGAAUAUUGGACAAUGGGCGAAAGCCUGAUCCAGCCAUGCCGCGUGUGUGAAGAAGGUCUUCGGAUUGUAAAGCACUUUAAGUUGGGAGGAAGGGCAGUAAGUUAAUACCUUGCUGUUUUGACGUUACCAACAGAAUAAGCACCGGCUAACUUCGUG
rnacentral:rRNA from 1 species